UAUAGGGAAUAUUACUUGAUUUUGCACUAGGAACUGUGACAAGCCUCGGUUGAUAGAGGCCCUGAAAACCAAGCGAAUCUGGGAUAUUGCCUGCGGGAGCUUGCACAGAGCAGCCCUGACGUCCAGUGGUGAACUGUACACCGGGGGCCUUGGAGAGUACGGCCGCUUGGGACAUGGGGAUAAUAGAACACAGCUGAAGCCCAAAAUGGUGAAAGUCCUUGGUCACAGAUUGAUCCAGGUGGCAUAUGGAAGCAGCACAGAUGCCCAGACCCUGGCUCUGACUGAUGAAGGCAAGUCCUGUCCUGACCCCACUUUGCUGGGGGAUUGGGGGCCCCAUCAUGAGGCACGGGCCUAAGGUAUGCCUUCAGAUGCUGAUUCUUCUGCUGCCGGUGAUAAAGUCAGUGGUGCAGAUAAUUCUAAACGAAAUUUGCCCUUCUCUUGCCACGAUUCUCUUGUCAUUAGGUGGAAAUCUGGCCAAACAGCAGGCCUUGUCUCCUAUACUUAUAGCCCUGCAAAUCAUGUAUGCCAGUCCUGUGAAUGGAGAGGAAUAUGUGCUGGCUGUUGAUACUGAAGACAGGCUGGAUCCAAAUCCAUGGCAAGAAAAGAGAGGAGAGAUUGUCUCUUCUGAGGAUGCUGUGACCCCCUCUGCAGUGACCUUGUCUGCUUCCUCAGCUUCUUCUCAGCCAUUUAUCCCAGUGACAGAUGACCCAGGAGCUGCCAGCAUCAUUGCAGAAACCAUCACCAAAGCCAAAGAGGUGGCUGAUACGUGGCUGGAGCUCUGGGUAACCGAGUCGGAGGACAUAACCACAGACUCAAGAGUGGCCACCUGUCCUCCCAGCCCGUGGUGGUGGAGAGCAGCCAUCCCUACACAGAUGACACUUCCUCCAGUGGCACAGUGAAGAUACCAGGAACUUGUGUCCCUGAAGCCUGGUAAAGCUGCAGAGCUGGUUUCCACUCACUUUUCUGAACAGAUUGAAACAGUCAGGAAAAAAACUUCAGAGAAGAUCUCCAUGUAAAUCAACAGUUGCUGCAAAUGUCUCCCUGUGUCACAGAGCCGUUCUCUGAGCUGCUGUGUCCAUUCAGCACCAGCCAGGUUGUAGAGAUGCUGCCAAGCCUGGGGUGCUGCCGCCUGGAAGAAAGCAUUCUGAUAAGACCAGUGGUGUAGAGGAGGCAAGAGUCGGCUUUCCUUAAUCAUCCACUGUUGUAUAAAUGAGCAAAGGGAGACUGCCUGUGUUCGUACCUGCUGCUGCUGGCAGCCCCAGGCCGAGGUCAGGAUCCUGGAUGUUAUAAGCCACUGCUGCCCCUUCACUCUCCUGAAGCCAUCUCCUCCUCCUGCCUGCGCUCAGAGCCCCUGCGCCCUGGCCCUGCUCACCGCCAGACCCUGGAAUGUCAGGGCCUGGCCCGCGCAUGCCUGUUCAGCCCGUGGAACCCUGGUGGCCCCACCAAAGAUGAUGGGCCAGGCCGAUGU